ACUUCACAUGCACGCAAAGCCUGGAGUUGCAUAAUGGCUUUUCCGUGGAGCCGGAGGGAACUGGCUGGAAGCAGCAGGAGUGAUUUAGUGACCUCAAGUGUUGUAAGGAUCUGCUUAAAACACUGUGUGAUGCUAAGCACCUUCACAUGAAGAAUCCAACCCUCCAGCAAAUUGCAUUUUGCAGUAAAAAGUGAUCUCCUGCAGUUCUCCUGUAUUUUUCAUCAUGGUUAGUGCAACAUUAUAAACUUUGAAUAACACCAUGGGACACAUACAAAGUACCACUAAUGACGCUGGAAGUGCUCCUAAAAAGCAGAGAAAAGGCAUGACAUUACAAGAAAAAGUUGAAUUGAAAAAGUCGAAAAAUAUGCACCAUGGAUUGAGGUCUGCAGCUCUGGCUGCCCACCAUUUUAAAAUUAAUGAAUCCAGUGUAAGGACUAUUGUAAAAAUAGUGAAGUCAUCGUGCCAGCUGUGCCAACAGGUGUGAAAACCUUGGACUUACUGUGAAACAGGUUGUUAUCUCAUGUUGAAAAUGCAGCUCUUGUGUGGGUGCAGGAUUGCUAUAAAAAGGCAUAUCCUAUAAACUCUAAUAUGAUUCAAGAAAAAACCAAGUCAUUAUAUGACAACUUAAAGCAAAAGGAAGGAUCUAAAGCCUGAGAAUUUAAUGGCAAAAAAGGAUGAUUUGAUAAUUUUAGAAAGUGAUUUGGCCUUUAAAAUGUCAAAAUAACAGGAAUAGCAGCUUUUGCCAACUUAGAGGCAGCAGAGAACUUCCCAGGCACCAUCACGAAAAGCACUGAGGAGAAAGGAUAUCUGCCUGAAUAGGUUUUUAUGCAGAUGAAAGUACUCUAUUCUGUAAAAACAAAAAAAAAUGCCACAAAGGGCAUUUAUUAGUAAGAAAGAGAAGUGGGCACCAGGAUUUAGGGCAGGAAGGGAUAGGCUAAUGCUACUGUUUUGUGCAAAUGCAAUCAGGUUUAUGAUUAGGAGUGCUCUUAUCUGUAAAGCUGCUAACCCUAGAGCCUUGAAGGGAAGAGAUAAACUCCAACUGCCAGUCUUUUGGUUGUACAACAAGAAGGCCUGGACAAUGAGAACACUUUUUCUGGAUUGAUUCCAUUGAUGCUUUGUCCCUGAAAGUCAGGAAGUUCCUUGCCAUUAAGAGACUGCAUUUUAAAGUUAUUUCACUAUCAGACAAUGCUCCUUGGCCACCUCUGGGUGAACCCAUGAGUUCAACACUGAAGAUGUCCAAGUGGUCUACUUGCCCCCAACACAACGUCUCUAAUUCAGCUUCUAGAUGAGACAAGCAUAAGGACAACUAAGUUGCAUUACAUAUAGUAUUCUAUGGGAAGGAUUGUCAAUGCUAUGGAAGAGAACCUCAAGAAAAUCUGGACGGAUUAAUUACACCAUUGAAAAUGUCAUUGUUGUCAUAGUAAAAGCUGUGAAAUCUAUCAAGCCCAAAACAAUAAAUUCCUGCUAGAGAAAUCUGUGUCCAUAUGUGCAAGAUUUCACAGAAUUUAUGACAGAGCCAAUCAAGGAAAUCAUAAAAGAGAUUGUGGAUAUGGCAAGAAGGUAGAGGAUGAAGAGUUUAGAGAUAUGGCUGUUGGAGAAAUUCAAGAGCUGACAGACACUACACUAGAGGAAUUAACAGAAGACGACUAAUGAAGAUGAAUGCUUCUGAACCAGUGUCAGAUGAUGAGGAAGAAGACAUAGAAGAAGCAGUGCCAGAAAACAAAUUGACAAUAGAUGAUCUGGCAGAAGGAUUUUGAUUAAACAAGAUGGCAUUUGACUUAUUUGAUGACAUAGACCCUUCUAUGAUGGGGCACUGAAACCAAAGCAAAUGAUGGAAGAAGAAUUGAUACUAUAUAGAAACAUCUUUAGAGAAAUGAAAAAGCAAAAAUGUCAGACAGAAAUUAUGAUGUAUUUCCACAAAGUUACACCAAGUGUGCUUGUCUCCACUGUCUCCCCUUCCACCUCCUCCUCCCCUGCUUCCCUGAGACAGCAAGACCAACCUCUUCUCUUCCUCCUCCUUAGCCUACUCAACCUGAAGAUGACAAGGAUGAAGAUCUUCCUGAUGAUCCACUUCCACUUAAUGAAUAUCAAAUAUAUUUUCUCUUCCUUAUGAUUUUCUUAAUAACAUUUUUCUGUAGCUUACUGUAUUAUAAAAAUACAGUAUAUAAUACAUAUACAGAAUAUGUGUUAAUCAACUGUUUAUGUUAUUGGUAAGUCUUCCAGUCAAUAGUAGGCUAUUAGUAGUUAAGUUUUGGGGAAGUCAAAAGUUAUAUAUGGAGUUUCAACUAUGCAAGUGGUUAACGUCUCUAACCUCCAUAUUGUUCAAGGGUCAACUGUAUGCCCCUCCAAAGAAGGCUUAACCUAGUGUUUCAUCAGUAACUGUAUCCCUUCAAAAUCCUGGAUCUCUGCAUGAUGGAUGUUUGUUCUUGUAGUUCUGUCAUUAUUUUGUUUCAAUAUUCCACAACCUAAGGUCUGAAUUGUAGGAUUAUCUACAACCAUCAGACUCCAUACAACAGUGAUGUAAAGGAAGAGGGGAUGAGGAAAAUAAAUUAAAUUGUAUCAUUAUAUAUUAAUACAUGGCCCCUUAGGAAGAAAAUGUGGUAGGUUCAGUGUCUGUUUCUGUAAUGGCCAUAGUUUUCACUUAUGGAUUUCUUCUUCUAGCACCCAUUCCAUGUUCUUAUGGCCUUAACCAGCCUUUUAUAUGGAUUUUGACUCGUUGGGUAGUCCAGCCUUCAUCCUGAGGGAGUUGAACCCUUAUUGCCUUGCUUGUAUAGAGUUACUGUAGUCUUCUCUGAACUUUUACACUGUACGUGGUGGCCCUGAAGGGUCCGUAGGAAUUACCUGGGUUCUAGGAAUAGCCUCUUCCCCCAUUGUGCAGCAUAAACCUUAUUUACUAUAUUACAUUAUUUACCAUGUUUCCACUGAUUUUGUUAAAUAAAUGCUUCUCAAUUUGUUGUAA